UCAAGUCGAGCGGACAGAUGGGAGCUUGCUCCCUGAUGUUAGCGGCGGACGGGUGAGUAACACGUGGGUAACCUGCCUGUAAGACUGGGAUAACUCCGGGAAACCGGGGCUAAUACCGGAUGCUUGUUUGAACCGCAUGGUUCAAACAUAAAAGGUGGCUUCGGCUACCACUUACAGAUGGACCCGCGGCGCAUUAGCUAGUUGGUGAGGUAACGGCUCACCAAGGCAACGAUGCGUAGCCGACCUGAGAGGGUGAUCGGCCACACUGGGACUGAGACACGGCCCAGACUUCUACGGGAGGCAGCAGUAGGGAAUCUUCCGCAAUGGACGAAAGUCUGACGGAGCAACGCCGCGUGAGUGAUGAAGGUUUUCGGAUCGUAAAGCUCUGUUGUUAGGGAAGAACAAGUACCGUUCGAAUAGGGCGGUACCUUGACGGUACCUAACCAAAAAGCCACGGCUAACUACGUGCCACCAGCCGCGGUAAUACGUAGGUGGCAAGCGUUGUCCGGAAUUAUUGGGCGUAAAGGGCUCGCACGCGGUUUCUUAAGUCUGAUGUGAAAGCCCCCGGCUCAACCGCGGAGGGUCAUUGGAAACUGGGGAACUUGAGUGCAUAAGAGGA
rnacentral:rRNA from 1 species